UACAGAGGGUGCAAGCGUUAAUCGGAAUUACUGGGCGUAAAGCGUGCGUAGACGGUUGCGUAAGUCGGAUGUGAAAUCCCCCGGGCUCAACCUGGGAAUUGCAUUCGAGACUGCGUAGCUGGGGUGCGGAAGAGGGAAGCGGAAUUUCCGGUGUAGCGGUGAAAUGCGUAGAUAUCGGAAGGAACAUCAGUGGCGAAAGCGGCUUCCUGGUCCAGCACCGACGUCAGGCACGAAAGCGUGGGGAGCAAACAGGG
rnacentral:rRNA from 1 species